UUCCUUGGAAAAGGACAGCUGAGAGGGUGAAACUCCCGUCCGCCUGGUAGAAUGAGUCUUUGUCAACGAGUCGAGUUGUUUGGGAUUGCAGCUCUAAUUUGGUGGUAAAUUCCAUCUAAAGCUAAAUAUUGGUGGGAGACCGAUAGCGUACAAGUACCGUGAGGGAAAGAUGCAAAGAACUUUGAAAGGAGAGUUAAAGAGUACCUGAAAUUGCUGAAACGGAAGCGAAGGAAACCAGUGUUUGUUGGUUCAUAUUUCCUUGGCCACUUGUGGUUUGGGCG
rnacentral:rRNA from 1 species